UACGUAGGGUCCGAGCGUUGUCCGGAAUUAUUGGGCGUAAAGGGCUCGUAGGCGGUCUGUUGCGUCGGGAGUGAAAACUUACAGCUUAACUGUGAGCGUGCUUUCGAUACGGGCAGACUUGAGGCAUUCAGGGGAGAACGGAAUUCCUGGUGUAGCGGUGAAAUGCGCAGAUAUCAGGAGGAACACCGGUGGCGAAGGCGGUUCUCUGGGAAUGCUCGUGACGCUGAGGAGCGAAAGUGUGGGGAGCGAACAGG
rnacentral:rRNA from 1 species